CCUACGGGAGGCUGCAGUGGGGAAUAUUGGACAAUGGGCGAAAGCCUGAUCCAGCCAUGCCGCGUGUGUGAAGAAGGUCUUCGGAUUGUAAAGCACUUUAAGUUGGGAGGAAGGGUAGUAACCUAAUACGUUGCUGCUUUGACGUUACCGACAGAAUAAGCACCGGCUAACUUCGUGCCAGCAGCCGCGGUAAUACGAAGGGUGCAAGCGUUAAUCGGAAUUACUGGGCGUAAAGCGCGCGUAGGUGGUUCAGCAAGUUGGAUGUGAAAGCCCUGGGCUCAACCUGGGAACUGCAUCCAAAACUACUGAGCUAGAGUACGGUAGAGGGUAGUGGAAUUUCCUGUGUAGCGGUGAAAUGCGUAGAUAUAGGAAGGAACACCAGUGGCGAAGGCGACUACCUGGACUGAUACUGACACUGAGGUGCGAAAGCGUGGGGAGCAAACAGGCUUAGAUACCCGUGUAGUC
rnacentral:rRNA from 1 species